rnacentral:rRNA from 1 species
CGUCAGGAUGAACGCUAGCUACAGGCUUAACACAUGCAAGUCGAGGGGCAGCAUGAAUAUUGGCUUGCCAAUAUUUGAUGGCGACCGGCGCACGGGUGAGUAACACGUAUCCAACCUUCCGGUUACUCGGGGAUAGGCUUUCGAAAGAAAGAUUAAUACCCGAUGUUGCGUAUCUUUCUCCUGAAAGAUACGCCAAAGGAUUCCGGUAACCGAUGGGGAUGCGUUCCAUUAGGCAGUUGGCGGGGUAACGGCCCACCAAACCUUCGAUGGAUAGGGGUUCUGAGAGGAAGGUCCCCCACAUUGGAACUGAGACACGGUCCAAACUCCUACGGGAGGCAGCAGUGAGGAAUAUUGGUCAAUGGACGGAAGUCUGAACCAGCCAAGUAGCGUGAAGGAUGACUGCCCUCUGGGUUGUAAACUUCUUUUAUACGGGAAUAACAUGAGGUACGCGUACCUUAUUGCAUGUACCGUUAUGAAUAAGCAUCGGCUAACUCCGUGCCAGCAGCCGCGGUAAU